UGCCACGAGAACGGUCAACAGAGGAGAAGGCUCAAGACGGAGAACAGAAAACCAAGGGACCUUCUGAGAUGCCCAGAUGCCCAGCUGUUUCAGGCGGGCACAGCUGGUGAACCAAUGAGCAUCAGGGUCCGAGUUAGUUCAGAAGGAACACAUUGAGAUGACUGGAAAGAGUGCAUACAGUGAACAAGAACACUUGAAUAACUAAUAACAGUGAUGAUGAGAUGAGAGUGGGUUCUCAAGAAGAAGAAAAAGGUUACGGGUUUGACCUCGGAAAGAUGAUAGGGUUGAGAAGCCAAGGUUUAUAAGGUCAGAGAGAAAAGUUCUUGAACAAAGGAGGUGGAACAGAUGUUAUGGAGGCAAACGCGUCUUGAAGUGGGUGAAGAUCUCGUCGGAAUGGACGUGGAGAAGAACAAUCUCGAGGAGAACAGAUGCAGAACAGAUGACCGGGAGAGAGAGGUUUUUCCCGAGGACCAAAAUAUGCAUUGCCUCAAGAUAAGGAAUGAGCGAGUGAGCGCCCCGUUCUCGGCAGAUCCUGACUGACAUAUCAGCAUCCAGGCGUCAAGAUCAAACACAUGGCAGCCUUUGGAAUAGAG